rnacentral:rRNA from 1 species
ANGCANCCGCGGUAAUUNCAGCUCCANUAGNGAAUAUUAAAGNNNNCAUCAGNUAAAAAGCUNGUAGUUGAAUUUCGGGACCAUCAUGUCGGUCGUGCCUCGGUACGUAGCUGGCAUCAUUGGUUUCUCCCUUCUGACGAACCAUGAUGUCAUUUAUUUGGUGUCGUGGGAAAUCAGGACUGUUACUUUGAAAAAAUUAGAGUGUUUAAAGCAGGCUCACGCUUGAAUACAUUAGCAUGGAAUAAUGAAAUAGGACGUUUAAUUCUAUUUUGUUGGUUUCUAGGAUUGACGUAAUGAUUAAUAGGGAUAGUUGGGGGCAUUAGUAUUCAAUUGUCAGAGGUGAAAUUCUUGGAUUUAUUGAAGACUAACUACUGCGAAAGCAUUUGCCAAGGAUGUUUUCAUUAAUCAAGAACGAAAGUUAGGGGAUCGAAGACGAUCAGAUACCGUCGUAGUCUUAACCAUAAACUAUGCCGACUAGGGAUCGGGUGAUGUUAAUUUUUUAAUGACUCA